UCCUCACCACUGAUCCCAGCCACCUUGGGCGGCUGGGGAGCGAGGCUGACCGCUAAGUGGACCUGACCUUCAGAAUGAGGGCUUUCUGAGGUAUUUUUCCCUCUCCACCCUGGUCUUCUCCUGUAACGUGUGGCCGCCUUUUCCAGCACGGCCUCCUGCCUUCCUGGUGCACUUUUUGGAGAACGUGGUGGAAUCAGAGGUUUCUGGCUGACUCGGUGG
rnacentral:lncRNA from 1 species